rnacentral:tRNA from 1 species
GGUGAUGGUCGGGUGGUUUAGAACUUUUGAUUACCACUCCAAAGUUCGAGGUUCGAAUCCCCGCCAUCACCG